rnacentral:rRNA from 1 species
UGAAACCUAGUGAUUUCUGUUUCAGUGGCGGACGGGUGAGUAACGCGUGGGUAACCUGCCUUGCACUGGGGGAUAACACUUAGAAAUAGGUGCUAAUACCGCAUAAGCGCACAAUACCGCAUGGUAGAGUGUGAAAAACUCCGGUGGUGCAAGAUGGACCCGCGUCUGAUUAGCCAGUUGGCGGGGUAACGGCCCACCAAAGCGACGAUCAGUAGCCGGCCUGAGAGGGUGAACGGCCACAUUGGGACUGAGACACGGCCCAAACUCCUACGGGAGGCAGCAGUGGGGAAUAUUGCAUAAUGGGGGAAACCCUGAUGCAGCAACGCCGCGUGAGUGAAGAAGUCAUUCGUGAUGUAAAGCUCUAUCAGCAGGGAAGAAAAUGACGGUACCUGACUAAGAAGCCCCGGCUAACUACGUGCCAGCAGCCGCGGUAAUACGUAGGGGGCAAGCGUUAUCCGGAUUUACUGGGUGUAAAGGGAGCGUAGACGGCGAGACAGGUCUGAAGUGAAAUGCCAGUGCUCAACACUGGAACUGCUUUGGAAACUGCCUGGCUGGAGUGCGGGAGAGGUAAGUGGAAUUCCUAGUGUAGCGGUGAAAUGCGUAGAUAUUAGGAGGAACACCAGUGGCGAAGGCGGCUUACUGGACCGUAACUGACGUUGAGGCUCGAAGGCGUGGGGAGCAAACAGGAUUAGAUACCCUGGUAGUCCACGCGGUAAACGAUGAUUACUAGGUGUCGGGGGGCUAGAGCCCUUCGGUGCCGCCGCA